AUGCGUGAUCAGGUCGGCAUCGACCUGGACGGCUUCCCCCUCGACCACGAGUUUCCGGACGACUACGGGCUAGAGGAAGAGGACGAGUGCGACAUCGACGUGGAGCCUUUGUUCGAGGACGAGCUCGCCAACCAAGCCGCCGGUCCUAAGCCGAAGCGCAAGAGCAAGCGUACGAAGGCGUACACGGCGGCCGAGGACAAGCUUCUUUGCGAGUGUUGGCGAGACAUUGGACAAGACCCCAAGAUGGGCGCCGAGCAAAAGCAUUCAACCUUUUGGAUUCGUGUCCACCGAGAUUUUCAUGAGCGCAAGAAGUUUCCGCCUUACCAAUUUGUGAGCACGCGCGGGUGGGUCUCCAUUUUCAAGCGG
rnacentral:rRNA from 1 species